UACGUAGGGUGCAAGCGUUGUCCGGAAUUAUUGGGCGUAAAGAGCUCGUAGGCGGCUUGUCGCGUCGGCUGUGAAAACCUGGGGCUCAACCCCGGGCCUGCAGCCGAUACGGGCAAGCUAGAAUUCGGUAGGGGAGACUGGAAUUCCUGGUGUAGCGGUGAAAUGACGCAGAUAUCAGGAGGAACACCGGUGGCGAAGGCGGAUCUCUGGGCCAUUACUGACGCUGAGGAGCGAAAGCGUGGGGAGCGAACAGG
rnacentral:rRNA from 1 species